UAGCUCAGCUGGGAGAGCGCCUGCCUUGCACGCAGGAGGUCAGCGGUUCGAUCCCGCU
rnacentral:tRNA from 3 species